rnacentral:rRNA from 1 species
UACGUAGGUGACCAGCGUUGUCCGGAUUUACUGGGCGUAAAGAGCGCGCAGGCGGUCGUUCAAGUCGAGUGUGAAAGCCCCCGGCUCAACUGGGGAGGGUCACUCGAUACUGAUCGACUUGAAGGCAGGAGAGGGAAGCGGAAUUCCCGGUGUAGUGGUGAAAUGCGUAGAUAUCAAGAGGAACACCUGAGGUGAAGACGGGUUGCUGGGCCAACACUGACGCUGAGGCGCGAAAGCCAGGGGAGCAAACGGG